GGAGAAUGUGGACUACAUGACUAGAUUUAUACUGAAGACAGUACAUUCAAGUCCCACUGCGGAUCUGGAAAUGAUGUGAAUGGAUGAAGGGCAACGGAUAAGGAAAUUGAGGCACAGGGAUGCCAACUUGUGCCAGGCUGCACACAGACCAGGUUUUGAAUCCCAGAAUUAGAAGCAUCAGGCCUGGCUACUGCGAGGCAUCUUGAAUCCAGCUGUAUGGAAGAAGUCUGACUGAGAAACUGAGGAAGACCUUCUGAAAAUGUGUCUUCAGAGACAGAGAUGUUAUGGGAUGUUUGGAUCUCUGGUUGCAGUCAUCUCUGAGACUAACUGGAGCCCUGACGUCCAAUUAAUGUGAUGAUAUGAGCUCUCACAGCACCCUUUCUAGAUAAACUAGCUUAAAUUUAAAGCUUAUAACUAAGAGUCAUGAGUAAAUAAGGAUACCAAUCUGCAUAGCAAUGGGAGAGUCUUUAGC